CUCUUUGGUUAUCUAGCUGUAUGAACGCGCACGUCUCAUAAAGCUGGAUGACCGAGGCA
rnacentral:pre_miRNA from 1 species